rnacentral:rRNA from 1 species
GAUGAACGCUGGCGGCGUGCCUAAUACAUGCAAGUCGAGCGAACAGACGAGGAGCUUGCUCCGCUGACGUUAGCGGCGGACGGGUGAGUAACACGUGGAUAACCUACCUAUAAGACUGGGAUAACUUCGGGAAACCGGAGCUUAUACCGGAUAAUCUAUUGCACCGCAUGGUUCAAUAGUGAAAGACGGUUUUGCUGUCACUUCUCGAUGGAUACGCGCCGCAUUAGCUAGUUGGUAAGUUAACGGGUUACCAAGGGGACGAUGCGUAGCCGACCUGAGAGGGUGAUAGCCGGCAUGGGAACGGGGACGGGGUCCAGGCUCCUACGGGAGGCAGCAGAAGGGAAUCGGCCGCAACGGGCGAAAGCCUUACGGAGCAGGGCGACGUGAGAGAUGAAGGUGUCCGGAGCGGGAAACUCUGCUAUGAGGGAUGAACAGAUGUGUAAGUAACUAUGCACGUCUUGACGGUACCGGAUCAGAAAGCCACGGCUAACUACGUG